rnacentral:rRNA from 1 species
CCUACGGGUUGCAGCAGUGGGGAAUAUUGCACAAUGGGCGCAAGCCUGAUGCAGCCAUGCCGCGUGUAUGAAGAAGGCCUUCGGGUUGUAAAGUACUUUCAGUCGGGAGGAAGGUGGUGAGCUUAAUACGCUCAUCAAUUGACGUUACCGACAGAAGAAGCACCGGCUAACUCCGUGCCAGCAGCCGCGGUAAUACGGAGGGUGCAAGCGUUAAUCGGAAUUACUGGGCGUAUAGCGCACGCAGGCGGUUGAUUGAGUCAGAUGUGAAAUCCCCGGGCUUAACCCGGGAAUUGCAUCUGAUACUGGUCAGCUAGAGUCUUGUAGAGGGGGGUAGAAUUCCAUGUGUAGCGGUGAAAUGCGUAGAGAUGUGGAGGAAUACCGGUGGCGAAGGCGGCC